rnacentral:rRNA from 1 species
AAGGAUCAUUAAAUAAUUUAGAUGGCCUUUGCUAGUUUUCUAGCGAAUGGUUCAUUCUUUUUUACUGUGAACUGUUUUAAUUUUUCAGCGUCUGAGGAAUGUCUUUUAGCCAUAGGGAUAGGCUACUAGAAUGUUAACCGAGCUGAAAGUCAGGCUUAGGCCUGGUAUCCUAUUAAUUAUUUACCAAAAGAAUUCAGUAUUAUAAUUGUAACAUAAGCGUAAAAAACUUAUAAAACAACUUUUAACAACGGAUCUCUUGGUUCUCGCAUCGAUGAAGAACGUAGCAAAGUGCGAUAACUAGUGUGAAUUGCAUAUUCAGUGAAUCAUCGAGUCUUUGAACGCAACUUGCGCUCAAUGGUAUUCCAUUGAGCACGCCUGUUUCAGUAUCAAAAACACCCCACAUUCAUAAUUUUGUUGUGAAUGGAAUUGAGAGUUUCGGCUUUAUUGCUGAAUUCUUUAAAAUUAUUAGGCCUGAACUAUUGUUCUUUCUGCCUGAACAUUUUUUUAAUAUAAAGGAAUGCUCUAGUAAAAAGACUAUCUCUGGGGCCUCCCAAAUAAAUCAUUCUUAAAUUUGAUCUGAAAUCAGGCGGGAUUACCCGCUGAACUUAA